AAAAAUGUAAAAGAUAAAAAAAAAACAUACAUAUCGAAAGAUGCAACUGUAAAUUAUAAUGAUAUAAACUUUUGUAGUAUUAAUGCAUAUGAACAUAUGCAAACAAAUAAAGAAUUUGAUGUUAUAAAAAGUUCUUUUUUUCCAAUUACUUCUAUUAAUAGAGUCAAAUCUUUGUAUGCUGAUUCAUGGAAAAGUACAUUAAUUCCAUCUACAUAUAUAUUACCAUUUGUUGAAACGAAAUUAGUAGAUAAAAAAAUAUUAAAUUUUUCAGAAUGCAAAAAUUUUCAAAAUGCUAUAACAUUUAAAAGAAAAAUUUUACCUAUAGUUAAUGUACCAUUAUUAUCAAGAGGACAUGUGAAACGCAAAAAUGAUCAACCUAUAAUGGUUUGUAAUAAUGAUGCAAAGCUUUUACUAAACGAAUGGUAUAUUAAGGCACCAUUUGUGGAUGCAAAAGGUAAUGUAAUAAGUUAUUAUGAAAACAUUGACAACGAAUUUAAUAUGUUCAUACAAGUAUUAGAUGAAAACAAUGAAAUUAUGUUAGGCUUUUAUGAUACUCCUUUGUUUGUACCCAAUCCCGCAAUUUAUCAUUGUAUUAUAUUAGAAGAUAAAUAUCAUUUUGUUAAAUAUAAUUCUGAUCAUAAUAUAUUAUCAUUUGAGCACUUACAUAGUACUAGUAGCAGUAUAAGUAGCAGUGACAGUAGUGAUAAUAAAAAAAAAAAAAAAAAAAAAAAAUUCACAAAAAAAAAAGAAUUUGCACAACAUUGAAAGUUUUCUAUCAAUUAUGGAGGACAAAAAUGGUAAUGAAAAUUUAGAUAAGUUUCGAGAAAAGGGGGGAAAUAUUCGAGAAAAAGUAAAAACUUCAUUAGACAAAAAGAUUAAACAAGCGACAAAAAUGGAGAAAUAUACAAAUAUUAAUAGACGUCCUAUUGAACAUACCGAUAAGCAUACUAAUACACAUAACGCAAAAACAGAAGGCAUUAAUUUUGUAAAUAGCUUGUUAAAAUACAAUAAAAAUGGAAACAAUAAAAAUGGAAACAAUAAUAAAUCCACGAUGAAAAGUGGAAAAUUAAACAGUAAUGUGACAAAUGAUUUGAAAUAUAUAAAUGAUAUAAAUAAUACAUUUGUUAAAAAAUCAAUCAUACCAAAUACAAAACAACUAAUGAAAAACAAAACAAAUAAUGUACUAAAAAAUGGUGCUACGUUAAAAAAAACAAAUACAACAAAUACAACAAACACAACAAAUACAACGAUUACAACAGAUACACCAAAUACAACAUAUACACUAAAUACACCAGACACACUAAAUACAACUUUAAAUGAUGUUAAACAGAAAAUAAAAGUAGAUGUUAAACAAAAAGCAAAUGCCAGAAAUAACGCUGAUAAAAGUAUCCAUUUUUUAAAAUUAGGCAAUAAUAGAAAAGUAUUCUUUCAAAAAGAAAAAUAUAUACCAAAAAAAUUUGCAAAAAUAAACAAAACUGGUACGUUAUCCUUUACGCCAAGUAAAAUGUCAGUUGAUAACAAUUCGAGUCAAGUUGAUAAAUUAGAAAAAUCGGGUCGUAAAGUUCAGUUAAAAAAAGAAGCUGUCUUAAAAACAGAGAUUAAUUAUAAUAUUAAAAUGAAUAUGGGUAGUAAUUAUACUGAUAAUACUGAGCAAUAUAAUUUAGACAGAUGGGAAACAGACAUUUAUUACGAUAGUUCGUUUUUAUCAUCUAGUGAUGGUACAAUUUCAAGUCACAUAUCGUAUCGAAACAACAGAAGAACUCAUUCGAGUCAAAGGGUUAGUAAAAAUAAAUAUGAAAAAAAAUGGAAACGCUCGAGUGAGAAUAUUAGUACAAAUAAGGAAGUUAUUACUAAUGAUACAAUAAAUAAUACCAGUGCAAAACAGUAUAGUAAGAGUGGAAAAAUUUUGGACUAUUUUAAAGAGCGUGAUUGUAAUCACAGUCGUAGCAGUACAUACAGUAGUGCUGAAAGUAACAGCAGAAAUAGUGAGUCCUCACGGAAUGAACACAGUGAAAGGGAGAGUGAAGAAGACGUGAUCGAUAUACAUAAAAUCAUUCAUGAUAAUUUAACAUAUGAUUAUAUGUCUGAUUAUGUAUCUGAUCAGUUAACAAAUGACAGUAAGCAAUACGACGAAUUAACACGUAGUAGUAAUAUGUAUGUUGAAAAGCUGACCUAUAAUAAUCCAAACGACAGUCAUUAUUCAAAUGGUUUAAAACCCGAAAAAUAUAGUCAAUAUAAAAGUAAUUUUGAUAGCACCAUGAAACUUUAUAAUAACUCAAAAAGGCAUGCUCCUAAUGAUACCAAUAAAGUUAGAAGUGGUAGUGAUAGUAAUAGUAGUAUUGAUAAACUAACAAACCAAUCUGAUGAUAAAACAAUUACUGCGUAUCAUAGUCCACACAAAAUUAACGAUAAUGCUACAUAUGAAAAACAAAAAAAAAAAACUAUUAAUAAUAAACGUCACCAAAACAAAAUAAUUAAAGAGCAUGUAAAAAAAAGUGAAUAUGAUAUAACGGAUAAGUUAAAUAAUAUUCAAAAAAUAAAUACAAAUGAUAUUUUAUUUAAAUUAAAAUUUAAUCAAGACGACU
rnacentral:lncRNA from 1 species